rnacentral:rRNA from 1 species
AACGAACGCUGGCGGCAUGCCUAACACAUGCAAGUCGAACGAGACCUUCGGGUCUAGUGGCGCACGGGUGCGUAACGCGUGGGAACCUGCCCUUAGGUUCGGAAUAACUCCCCGAAAGGGGUGCUAAUACCGGAUAAUGUCUUCGGACCAAAGAUUUAUCGCCUUUGGAUGGGCCCGCGUUGGAUUAGCUAGUUGGUAGGGUAAAAGCCUACCAAGGCGACGAUCCAUAGCUGGUCUGAGAGGAUGAUCAGCCACACUGGGACUGAGACACGGCCCAGACUACUACGGGAGGCAGCAGUGGGGAAUAUUGGACAAUGGGCGAAAGCCUGAUCCAGCAAUGCCGCGUGAGUGAUGAAGGCCUUAGGGUUGUAAAGCGCUUUUACCCGGGAUGAUAAUGACAGUGCCGGGAGAAUAAGCUCCGGCUAACUCCGUG